rnacentral:rRNA from 1 species
UACGUAGGGGGCGAGCGUUAAUCGGAAUUACUGGGCGUAAAGCGCACGCAGGCGGCUCUUCAAGUCAGAUGUGAAAGCCCCGGGCUUAACCUCGGAACUGCGUUUGAAACUGGACGGCUCGAGUGUGGAAGAGGGAGGUGGAAUUCCUCGUGUAGAAGUGAAAUGCGUAGAGAUGAGGAGGAACACCGAUGGCGAAGGCAGCCUCCUGGGCCAACACUGACGAUCAUGCACGAAAGCGUGGGGAGCAAACAGG